CCUACGUGCGGCAGCAGUGGGGGAUAUUGGACAAUGGGGGGAACCCUGAUCCAGCGACGCCGCGUGAGUGAAGAAGUAUCUCGGUAUGUAAAGCUCUAUCAGCAGGGAAGAAGAAAUGACGGUACCUGAGUAAGAAGCCCCGGCUAACUACGUGCCAGCAGCCGCGGUAAUACGUAGGGGGCAAGCGUUAUCCGGAAUGACGGGGUGUAAAGGGAGCGUAGACGGUGAUGAGAGUCUGGAGUGAAAGGCGGGGGCCCAACCCCCGGACUGCUGUGGAAACUGUGUGAGUGGAGGACAGGAGGGGCAGGCGGAAUUCAUGGUGGAGGGGGGAAAUGCGGAGAUAUAAGGAGGAA
rnacentral:rRNA from 1 species